CAGUUCUGAAUGUCUGUUUACCCCUAUUUCAACCGGAUGCCUCGCAUCCGGUUUUUUUU
rnacentral:other from 1 species